rnacentral:rRNA from 1 species
GACGAACGCUGGCGGCGUGCUUAACACAUGCAAGUCGAACGAUGACGACCGAGCUUGCUCGGUCUGAUUAGUGGCGAACGGGUGAGUAACACGUGAGCAACCUGCCCUUCACUCUGGGAUAACCUCGGGAAAUCGGGGCUAAUACCGGAUAUGAGCUCCUGUCGCAUGGCGGGUGUUGGAAAGUUUUUCGGUGAAGGAUGGGCUCGCGGCCUAUCAGUUUGUUGGUGAGGUAGUGGCUCACCAAGGCGAUGACGGGUAGCCGGCCUGAGGGGGCGACCGGCCACACUGGGACUGAGACACGGCCCAGACUCCUACGGGAGGCAGCAGAGGGGAAUAUUGCACAAUGGGCGAAAGCCUGAUGCAGCGACGCCGCGUGAGGGAUGACGGCCUUCGGGUUGUAAACCUCUUUCAGCAGGGAAGAAGCGAAAGUGACGGUACCUGCAGAAGAAGCGCCGGCUAACUACGUG